ACAUGUGUGGGAACAGGUGGACACAAUCAGGAAUCAGGGAAGACAAUCAGACUGGUGACACAUGAGGAAGGGCAAGCAACCUGAAACAAUAGGAGAGUUCAUUUCCAAAAUAAAACAGGAAGUCACAAAACAAACGUGGAGACAGGACAAAAACCCAACUUGACAUACAGGUGUGACAGUUUGUCAAACUUAACAGUACUUAAAAUAUUGCAUUUGAUAGUCUACUUAAGUUAAGAACACUUAUAUUAAAUUGGAGGAACUUGAAAUUGUGUCUGAAAAUAUCCAACAGCACCGAACAUUUUGUGUUGAGUAUACUCAAAAUAGCUUUGCAGCUGGUUGCUUAACUAUUAUGUUAAGUUUUCUCAACUUUUCAAAUUUCAUUGCCAAGUACACUCAAAAUCCGUUGCCAUGCUGCCUCUAUUUUUAAAUUUAAAAGUGUACACCGCUUUGGCAUAGAUGAGCCCAAUAAAUGGGAAACGCUAUUGAGAUGUCGCAUACAUCAUACGGGACAAUUCGUUGCUCAGUAACCAGGGCGAUGCUCGUUGUUGUUGGACUUGAGCGGACCGUUCCAACGUCACCUUCAACCACUGUGACGAGGUAGAACUCCCUGGACACAAGACUCCGGGUCUGUACUCUACAGAAAAACAAGCAUACAGAAAGUUUAAUAAAUAAUCCCCCCCUUUUUAAAUAUCCAAACCGACCCACGAUACUGCACAAUUAUUAGUGUCAGUGUAAAAGCACAAAAGGCAUCUUUUCAUUCAGUCCAUUUUAAAAUGUCUUGUUUCAGACUUAUGAUUUAGGUCCCAGCUCAAAUGUAAUUUAGAACCCCUGCUGUACCACAUUCCUAAACUACUGGUUGAUUACCUGUUGAUCCUCAUGUCCUUCCCAAGUGUUCCACUGUGUGAUCUGUACAGCUUAAUGAGCUGCAAUGAGCAUCAGAAGAUGACAGGAAGGUCUGCAUCAGGUCCACUCGUGUAACUUGAUUCUGAAAAACUCUGCACAGAUCUAAGAUGACAGGUUUCAUGUCAAAUGUAAUGUACAAUUGAUUAAAAUCUUAUUUUUGGAUCUUUCCAAAGAAGGGAGAACAUUUGGCAAAAUGUAUAUUUAACACAUAAAUGAAGGUCUCACUAGUAACAAAAAGAAAUGUCCUCCUGUCCUCCUUUUUUGGAGUUGCGCUGGGACUGAGCUGGGAGCCACGUACAAAGAGUGCUUACAACGUAGUAAUGUUGGCUUUAGUAAUUAAAGCCAAACCGCAAGACUUGGAUUGUCGUUAAAUGAAUACACAUGAAGUUAUGAACAGGUGAAAAGUCCCUUGCGUUGUAAGCAUGUUAAUUUUAACCCUUUCAUUAAAAAAAUGGUUUGCUGACUAACUAGUCAAGAACAAAAACAGUCUCGCGUGGCUUUGUAAAAUACAAACCCAUACAUUUGGUUGCUGCAGACUCUGGUUGAGGAAAUUUUUACUUUUACAAUAAAACAAUAGUUGCUUCGAAAGGAGGCGCUAACGCCUACUUUAACACCGUGAAAUCACCUGAAAAUAUUACACAAUCAUUUUUAUCAAUAGUUUAACGGAUAGUUAGCUAAAAACUGUCCAUAUCAGGAGACUGUCACGUUAUACAUACGUGUGUGUGUGUGUGUGCGCGCACACCAGCGUGUGUGCUUACUAACAUAUAUACCCAUGCCCACUGGCCUUAGUUACGUCAGAAAAUGUCCAACUAUACCAAGUUUUCUCUACUUAGAAGGUUUCAGUGUGUGUCAAUGCUAAGAGGGUAAUCUGUAUAUACUGUCAAAAGCCACCAACGCCACCUUAGGGAAUUUCACCCCAGGACUUAACAGGGACCACCAGUCUAUGGUCAACAACAGGACACAGGUUCGGACAACACAUACAGGCAUGUGAUUCCACAAACAAUAUUAUACAAGUUUAUUUUAAUAUCAAAUUAUGUUCUCAAUACAAUCACAAUCAUAAAAUCUCUCUGGUCCUCAGUCAUUCAGGUUGCCAUGGAAUGCAACAUACUGGAGGGGGGUGGGAGGGCUGAGGGUUCACCGGCGGAGAUGACUUGCUGAGGGGAAAGGAGCCCAAUGUUCCACCACACAUGAAAACAAAAACAAACCACACACCAACUAUUACAAUAUUACUAUACAACGAAAAAUGAAGAGAACCACCACCACCAGGAUCAGCCAGUCACUACUACCAGUGGCACCAACAGCUCCUGUUCAUCAAAACAAAAAUCAACCAUGAGUGAGCGAGUGAGGCAGGCAGGCACUUUAACAGCAGUUGGUCCACUUCCAAGUCUUUGGCCAGCAGAAGAUCACCUGCAACCAACAAAGUUGUUUUCUAUCAGGGAUCAUCACCUGCCAGGGAGCUCUGAGUUGACAGAAACAACCCGAUGAGCCCGCUGCACAGUCUUUGGAAAACAUAAAUUAAUAUUAGCUAUUUUUAAAGGGUAGUUUAUGGUGGUUUUCUUUUAUCAAAGCACAUCUGUCCGUCACUAUCCCAGAUCAUUCCCAUUUAGAAAUAGAAAAGUUAUGUACUUUCUGAUAUUAUUAAUCCAUUAUCUAUUUAUUGUAAAUAAACAACGUAUUUACUCAAGUGGUCUGUCGUAUUCUUUAAAGCAAUAACUAUAUCAAUUAAUUCACAUUUCAUAACCACUACAAAGACCUGGAUGACAAUGUUGUUGUUGAGGAAUAAACUGUGGCGACCUAAAGCGAAUGAUGAUCAAUUUACAUUAAGUUCUUUAUUGCGGAAUUUAAAAAAGUUUGCCGACAACCAUGACGUACGUCCAAAUAGACAACUCAAUAAGUCCAUUAUAAUUUUAUUAGAACAGCUCAUAGUUUUUGGUGGGAAGAGAAGGAUUGUGAUUAUGAACAUUUCAAGGGUUUUGGAUAAUACGGUGGUUAGUGUUUGUCUUUCGAGAUCUUAGCAUUUAUUUCGAUGAGAACAAUAGCGUUAGAAGUGAUGCCUAAAUAUGAGAAUUAAAAAAAUGGAAAAGGUUGUUCCAUUCGAUCAGUGGUUCUCAACUGGUCUGGCUCCGGGACCCACCAUCACCCCUUAAUGACAAGCCGCGACCCAAAUCGAGGAACAUUCUCAGCUUCUCGAAUUUAUUUAAUGAAAAUAUGGUGCAGUUUGAACCUGAGAUAGUAUGGAGACAGAAUAUGUAUGCCAACACAAAAACAAGUUGAAACAGCCAGCUGUUAAUUCUAAUUUUUAUUUUCCCAGGCAAAGACUCAUUAGAAAUGGGUCCGCGACCCACCGGUUGAGAAUGACUGCAUUAGAUAAUUAUUGUUUACAUUUACGAUUUGCGAUUAUUGAAGAAACUCUUAAGCGCAUUUCCAAUUCUAUAUAUUGUGUGUUGAAAGCCUCACACAAUAGUAUUGCAUUUUAUAGCUAUGAACAGAGAUAUUUUGGCAUACACCUGCUGUUUGUUUAUCAAAAACCAUAUGAGAUUUAGAAAAACUUAUUGAAUAUUAUUAGAAAUCAAUGUGUGAGUUUCGGGGAAAUAUUGUGAAGUGAAAAGAAAUUAUCAAGCAAAGGUUACAUUGAAAAGUGGUGCGGAUGUUCAGAUAAAGACAAAAAAAGAAAGAAGGCUAGAUGGGAACGAAAUUCAAAUUAAAGACCCCUCGAAGGUGUGCGCCUUAUUAAAUUCACUUUUUUUUCUCUACCUUUUAUUAUUGCCACAGCAGAUAAGCUAAUUUCUUUAGUUGAUUAGCUACCCUCCGCGCAAUGGCAAUACAUAAUACUGAGGAAAACACAAAUCAAAACAUUCAAAAUGCAACUGAUUAUUAGAAGGUGAAAUACAGACGAUGGACUGGGAUUAUCCAAGAAAAGCUAAUAGCACAGGCACUGCCUGCAUGGGUUUUGCUGGAGAACACCAGAAGGGUAUUCAUUUGUCUCACAAAAACAGGGAUAGCGCAAGAAUGAAAAAAAAUAAAAAGGGGAAUUACCGGGGAAUAGAGAGAAACAAGUCAAAAAACAUAACAGAGGUCUUUUGUAUUUCGGUGGCUCUCCCUCUGCACUGCCCGGCUGAAUUGCGGUGACCUAGAGCGAUUCUUUAACAAAUAAGAUUGCCUUUGUGUGCGCAUUUUUUUUCUGUUGACAUUUGCUAAGCGCUAGAGCUCCUGGCCAUGGGAGAUAGAUGAGGACCCUAAAAUGUCUGUGUAUCAGCCAGGGCCUUUCAUGUUACCUAGAGAGCAAUGGUUGUGUUUGUGGUGUGUGUGAGUGAGUGAGUGAGAGAGAGUGAGUAUCAUGAGGAGAGAGAGAAAAAGCAAUGUGAUUGCCGUUCAGUAGAUAUCCACCGAAGCUUUGUUUCUGACAGCGGUAAAGGUUAUUGCGGCCCAUUUCUCGCCCUGCUGUGUGUUGUGGGUGUGUGUGUGUGUGUGUGUGUGUACCACAUAGGGAAUCACUAGAGUGGACUAGGGCCAGUCAUAGCAAUAUGCGCUGGGGCGAUCAAAUCCACCUGACAUUACGCUUUGUCCCGCCUCUCGGCGUACAUUUACGGCAUCCACUUCGCAGGUCUGCUCCCACUUGACGUCGUUUUUCGGACCUGGACCUAAAGCGAUUUAGGAGUGAUACUUUCAAAGAAGCAAUAUUUUCCCAUACUUAUCCAAAACUUUUUAUUAAUAAAAUACAAUACUGUGUAGGGACUCUAAAAUGUAACACCAAUCAUAUUUCUUCAUCUGACCUUAUUAAAACGCAAUAUGUGGGUAAGUGAUGACCUUUCCUUUUGAUGCUAAACUGAGCUUAUAUAUAUAUUUUAGUGUAUUGGGCACUAUUAUUAAUGCACACUUUAAACAAAUAAGGUGCUUUUUAACAGCAGUAUUCUCUUAAAUAUCUAAACUUAAACCAAUUAAAUCAGAUACAAUAUGAAACCAAAGCCAUUUGCCACUGCCAGGGCAAUGUUUUAUGUAGAUUGUUAUAGAAAAACAAGUCCAUCCAAGCAACUACAAAUUAACUUUUAUACUUUUUUUUCUUUUUUUUUUUCUUUUAUCAGCGGGAAAAGUUUCUGCUUGAAGUUGUGGUAUUUGUUAUACAUGGAGGGACUAAGGACUCAGGGGGCAUUUAGGAGAGGGGAACAACCUGCAUGAGAACGGCAUGGCUGGGUUACCCGAAGAAAGUCCAAGCAGUUGGUCACGUCUUGUGUGUAUUUAUGAAACAAACACACUUCACAGUCUGGAAGAGAUUUAAAAUGAAAAGAGAUUGCUACCUUCCUCCAUUUCUUUCCUGUUCGGGUCCAUGUGAGCCGCUGCGGCCCAAUGCUCUUAUUAGUUAAAACGAGGGAUGAUGCCCAUAGUAAUCAAUAUUGCAUUCUGACUGUAUUCUCAGCCAGUAAGCAAUGGACUCAUGAAAAAAUCUGAAUAAAAAACCCCAUCUAGAUCUAUCUAGAUAUCUACAUUUAUUUGUAUAUAUAUAUAUAUAUAUAGAUAUGACAUUCUGUAUCUCCUCGGCUCCAAACUGGAAUUAGAAUAAAUAAAUUUAGCCCACUAACAACUCCAGGGGUUCAGUGGAAACAGAUCAAUUUAACAGAAACGUCAAACAGAAAUUCAAAGGCAAGACAGAAACAGUAAAAUUGUCAAGAUUUUUAUCAUAAUUUCUUCAUAACAUUCAACUAUAACAUGAAAGAUCGUUACUCAUUGCUUUGUAUAUAGACAUCUCAACAACAGUGUCGCACAGGUUUAUCCACUUUACUUUAAUAUUUUGUUUCACAAUAAUACAUUAUCUCUCAAAUUGUCGUGUACAGCAGCUCGCUUAGUGGCCCUGCACCUCAAACAUCUUCAGCUUCAUGUCACAUACACCUCACAUAAACGCGAAGGUAACACAAUUACUCAGUUAGUACUGAGCAAAAAUGUGGAACAGCAGGCUUCAUAAAGGAGGGAGUACAAACCAAUGAGUGACAUCGCAUUGUUACUGUCAUGUCCAGGAAGCGGCGUUAUCAGGUCGUCUCGUGUCUACAUUGUUUCGUGAUUUCCUGUUUUAUUUUGAAAAUGAACCUCCCUCUCGUUUCAGGCAACUUGCUCUUUCCCCAUGUGUGCCCUGUGUGUGUGUAUAUAUUGUCUGCGUCUCCCUUUGUCCUGUGCCAGUUCGUCUUGUCCCAAGUCAAAGAACCAGCGUAUACCAGCAUCCAUUGUCAAGGCUUUACCACGUUUUUUUGUAUCUUGUUCAGGCUUGCUUUCUGUUUGAUUCCUUUUUCAGCCUAGCGUUUAUUUUCUAGAUCCUUUUCGUUCUUAUAUUUAGUAAAGGUUUUUUUCCCUCGACCAAGAGUGAUUUUCAUUUCAGCGGCAUUUGGGUUCAGGGCCGUUGUCCGGUUUAUGAGACAGUUACAUUCAUGUCUCACAAACAAUUGGUAUUAAUGCCACCUAACUGACUCUUUUCCUCCCUGAUAAUCAGGACCACAAACACACAGAGAGCCUUCAGUUUACACUUCAAGCUGCCUUAUUUGAUGUGUUGGGAGGGGAAACA
ensembl:lncRNA